UACAGAGGCCUCGAGCGUUAAUCGGAGUCACUGGGCUUAAAGGGUGCGUAGGCUGUUUCGUAAGUGCUUUGUGAAAUCCCAUGGCUUAACCAUGGAAUGGCUUGGCAUACUGCGAAACUUGAGGUCGGUAGGGGUCGCUGGAACUCUAGGUGGAGCGGUGAAAUGCGUAGAUAUCUAGAGGAACGCCAAAGGUGAAGACAGGCGACUGGGCCGAUUCUGACGCUGAGGCACGAAAGCGUGGGGAG
rnacentral:rRNA from 1 species